rnacentral:rRNA from 1 species
CCUACGGGAGGCAGCAGUGAGGAAUAUUGGUCAAUGGACGAGAGUCUGAACCAGCCAAGUAGCGUGAAGGAUGACUGCCCUAUGGGUUGUAAACUUCUUUUAUAUGGGAAUAAAACGUUCCACGUGUGGGAUUUUGUAUGUACCAUAUGAAUAAGGAUCGGCUAACUCCGUGCCAGCAGCCGCGGUAAUACGGAGGAUCCGAGCGUUAUCCGGAUUUAUUGGGUUUAAAGGGAGCGUAGGUGGAUUGUUAAGUCAGUUGUGAAAGUUUGCGGCUCAACCGGAAAAUUGCAGUUGAAACUGGCAGUCUUGAGUACAGUUGAGGUGGGCGGAAUUCGUGGUGUAGCGGUGAAAUGCUUAGAUAUCACGAAGAACUCCGAUUGCGAAGGCAGUUCACUGGACUGCAACUGACACUGAGGCUCGAAAGUGUGGGUAUCAAACAGGAUUAGAUACCCGGGUAGUC